rnacentral:lncRNA from 1 species
CACCAAAGAUUAUUUUCAAUGUAUCGUUAGCAUGAUGCAACUCAAAUGUGAAGACUAGUAACUAAUUACCAUUCAAAUGAAACUCACCGUGCCCGCCGGAGCAAUGACUGGCAUCGGCGGAGGGGUCUAGCCGUUCUUCUCGCACAUGGACUGCACAUUUGGUUUUGACGAGUCAGUCAUAUCUAUUAUAUAAUUAAAACAGAAGACACAUAAGACACCAUGUUCAUCCACAUAUAUUAAAUUAUAUCAACCAUUAGUUUUAGAGAUUAAAGGCUAAGAUUUAAAGAUGUAAACGUUACAUACAAAUAUUGUAUAGAUGUCGUUUUUGGAACAUAAGAUGUUGUCACGUACAUGUCUUUUUUUAUUUAGAAUUCAAGUAGCAAAGAACAAACAUGUAUAGGACAAGGAGACGUAAAAGACAUAUACAUGUACAAAAAAGAAUAGGCCAACACGUCUUACAUCAAAGUCGUAAUCUUUUCCUUUUAAAAAAAGCAUACAUGAGUACUACAAAUACGUCAACCUACUAAUACUAUAUGGAAGAGUCGGAGCACGUACCCAGAAAAAAGGAGUCCGGGCACACCAAAAAGAAAAAGGAGUCCAGCCAGAAUACGGAUCAUCAACUUAAUGAAGUUGGACCCCUUUUUUCUGUGUUCCCAAAAUCAUCACGUACUCCUGCUUUAGAUAGUGCUUCACGUUGGAACAAAAAACAUCCCCUACCAAGAUUAAUAUAAAGAAGAAAAUAUGUGUGCUGUCAAAAAAAUAAUAAGAAAAGAUGCGUACGUACGCAACAAAGAGUGUGGGAG